rnacentral:misc_RNA from 1 species
GGCAACAUGAAAACACUAGCAAUAACAACUAUGACUUUGCAAAGCUGUCUUUGAAAGAUAAAGCUACAUCUAAAUGGUUUUUCACAUUAUUGUCACAUAAUAUCUACCAAAUAUGGGAUUCAUUCAUAGAAUCAAUCCUUAGAGACUGUCUCUAUCACCAUAUGAAAAAAUCUACCUAGUAAUAAAGUCCUAAAAAGUAAAUCUCACAAACAACUUACGUACAAAGAUAUAUGUAGAAAAAGAUCCCUACAUAUUUUAUUCAUGUCAAAUUAUUUGAACAUUGUGCUCCUUCAAUUUAUGCAACACUAUCUGAAGCUAUUUCAGACUGAAAAAAUUCCUUCAAAUAUUAACAAUUUCUGCCAUCAGUACAAAAUAAGUCAAUUCUUUCAACUCAAUCUUUUAAUUUUUCUCAUCAAACGAACAACACAUACCCUCAACCAAAUUGCACAAUACAAAUCCACAAUAUCUUUACAUUUUCAACCAAAUCCAACCAAAGCAAAUGUAGGCUGUCACCAACUCAUUAGCAAAAAGAUAACCUC